GAUCAUGGCUCAGAUUGAACGCUGGCGGUAGGCUUAACACAUGCAAGUCGAACGGUAACAUAAAGAAGCUUGCUUCUUUGAUGACGAGUGGCGGACGGGUGAGUAAUGCUUGGGAAUCUAGCUUAUGGAGGGGGAUAACUACGGGAAACUGUAGCUAAUACCGCGUAAUAUCGAAAGAUUAAAGUGUGGGACCUUCAGGCCACAUGCCAUAGGAUGAGCCCAAGUGGGAUUAGGUAGUUGGUGAGG
rnacentral:rRNA from 1 species